UCACUCUGGGAUGGACCUGCGGUGCAUUAGCUAGUUGGUAAGGUAACGGCUUACCAAGGCAAUGAUGCAUAGCCGAGUUGAGAGACUGAUCGGCCACAAUGGAACUGAGACACGGUCCAUACUCCUACGGGAGGCAGCAGUAGGGAAUCUUCCACAAUGGACGCAAGUCUGAUGGAGCAACGCCGCGUGAGUGAAGAAGGGUUUCGGCUCGUAAAGCUCUGUUGGUAGAGAAGAACGAUAGAGAGAGUAACUGUUCUCGCAGUGACGGUAUCUAAACAGAAAGUCACGGCUAACUACGUGCCAGCAGCCGCGGUAAUACGUAGGUGGCAAGCGUUAUCCGGAUUUAUUGGGCGUAAAGCGAGCGCAGGCGGUUCAAUAAGUCUGAU
rnacentral:rRNA from 1 species